GCUCGGAAGAGGAGCCAAUGGACGGAUAAUUGGAGUGGGGAUAGGAGCAAUGGCAGGGACAAUCGAAGGUGGAAUAACUGAUGUAGCUGCUGGUUGAAUUGGUUCUGCUGGAUUAUCAAGAUCCUCAUUUUCACCACCAGGAAGGGUUUCAGGAGAUUCCGCAGCAGUUGAUGCAGGGUUUUGAUCAUCAACUUCCAUGAUAGCUCUCUCGGAAAUGAAACUUCUAAACAAAACAAGCUUGUCCUAGAUAUUAUGUUCCUCUUUUCAUUCCUCCUCUACAAUCAAGCUCCGUCAAAACACCAUUUCCA
rnacentral:misc_RNA from 1 species